rnacentral:rRNA from 1 species
AGCAGUAGCCGCGGGAAUACGUAGGUCCCGAGCGUUGUCCGGAUUUAUUGGGCGUAAAGCGAGCGCGGGCGGUUAGAUAAGUCUGAGGUUAAAGGCUGUGGCUUAACCAUAGUACGCUUUGGAAACUGUUUAACUGGAGUGCAAGAGGGGAGAGUGGAAUUCCAUGUGUAGCGGUGAAAUGCGUAGAUAUAUGGAGGAACACCGGUGGCGAAAGCGGCUCUCUGGCUUGUAACUGACGCUGAGGCUCGAAAGCGUGGGGAGCAAACAGGAUUAGAGACCCCCGUAGUCCCUGUCUCUUAUACC